ensembl:lncRNA
CAGGAGGCUGCCAGCUGGCUGACCAUUGCUCUCGUUUCAAAUGAGCAGCCAGCAUGUUGCAGUAAAGUCCAAAAGAUCAAACUUCUCUGCUUUUUCCUUUCUGUAAUUCUCACCGGAGGAAGUGAGAGCUUUCUUUCUCUUGGCUAUGUUACAUAUUUCCAGCAAGAUGAAUUUUCUCUUCACCUUGUUAUUAUCUCAUGAAAGUAGCCCACACAGAGACAAGGCAGGAAAACCAAUUACCACUGAUAUACCAUAGCAUCUCCUAAAGAAAGAAAGGAGACUGAUGCAGCCAUGGGACAGCCGCAUAGGUGUCCUGGUUCUCCACAGCCCUCCCAGGGACUUCCCAUCUCCUCUAAGCUUGCUUCCCUUGCAGAAGACUCCAAAUUCCUUAAAAAGUAGCUAUGAACAGAAGACAGGAUAUACAAAGUGGUAAAGACAUGUUCCUAAUGAAGAGAGAAAUUUCUAUUUUGUUGUAAUCCCAUGGGGAGGCUGAAAGAGCAACAAGAAGAUCCUGAAAAAUCUCAGGUGUGAGAACCCAUCAGUAUGAAGCCACCAUGCACCAAAGCUGUUCCCCGUGGCUUGGUCAUCUCUCCCACCAGGAGCAGGCCAUGUGCAGCAAGGCGUGCCCUGCCCAACAGCAGCAACAUGGAUCUUAACUCCUGCACACAGUGGGCCCACCAGGACCCAGCAUUGCUGGCUGUCCUCAGAGUUUGACAAGGUCUAUGGCCUGGAUGUUGAUUACAACUCUUCAGUGCUUGCAGGUGCUUCAUAAACAUUUGCAAGGAAGAAAUAAAAAUAAAGGUGUAGCUCCAACUCACAUCCUUGUGGACAUUACCUCUAACACUGAAAGACUUCAGGUGUAUAAUCGUGAGGUCUGUUACACGUUCCAUGGCUCAACCACUUCUGCUCUGCAAGAUCUUCCAAGGAUCUUGUGUGCCAGGGUAAGGAGGUGCUGACCAUGGUUGGUGACAGGACACUGCAUCCACAGCACCAGGGCCAGGGGAAGGAAAGCCCCCUGAAGGAACUGGGAUGACAGCAAAGCUGCAGGUGCACAGCCCUACCUGGAACCUUCACCUCUUGGCCCAGCAGGGCAGAAAGAGUUGGUUUGCUCUUUGUUAGUUUGAAAGAAGACUUAGCUAAUGGAACUGAGUGGAUCUUCAGCAAACCAAAUAGAAAAAUUAAUCUUCAUCAUUUUAUUAUCAUUUUCCUAGAAAAAGAUCAAGAGAAUUCAAUGUCAGGUUCUGGACAGAGCAUUAUUCCUGCAGGAAAACAGGUGCUGAUCUACAAAACUAGACCCUGAAGAUUAGGGCAGAUCUUCAUAAAGUAGGCUGGGACUUCUUUUAAAGAACUCUUCUAAUAGCAAUUUGGACAAUUAGCUCAUCUCUGAUAUUUCUAGAUCUCUAGAGAAUCCUUGUAAAAGAAGAAAAACACUCAGGCCAAUCAUUGGCCCUACAAAAGGAGCCAAAUCAGCAACAUUGUGAAGGCGACUAAUGAGACAGCUAUUAUUGUUAUUGAUUUUUUGUGGAACAUUGUCAGAUUGUGUUGCCAAGCCUGAUAAAAAGGAUAUAAGAUUGAGUUUUAUGUCUUCUGCCAAAUGUUCAUGUACCUUGUCAGUCAUUUAUACGGGUGGAAAGAUGAUAAGUGAUCUUUUGGGAACCUGUCCAUGAGCAAUUUAUGAAUUCCAAUUAAAAACUUCUAUUAUAAACUCUCAGUAUGCAAUAGCAACUGCAUAUUAAAUUGCAAA